rnacentral:rRNA from 1 species
GACGAACGCUGGCGGCGUGCUUAACACAUGCAAGUCGAGCGGUAAGGCCCUUUCGGGGGUACGACGAGCGGCGAACGGGUGAGUAACACGUGGGUGACCUGCCCUCAGCUCUGGGAUAAGCCUGGGAAACCGGGUCUAAUACUGGAUAUGACUCCAUGACGCAUGUUGUGGGGUGGAAAGCCUUGUGCGGCUGAGGAUGGGCCCGCGGCCUAUCAGCUUGUUGGUGGGGUGAGGCCUACCAAGGCGACGACGGGUAGCCGGCCUGAGAGGGCGACCGGCCACACUGGGACUGNGACACGGCCCAGACUCCUACGGGGAGGCAGCAGUGGGGGAAUCUUGCGCAAUGGGCGAAAGCCUGACGCAGCGACGCCGCGUGAGGGAUGACGGCCU